CCUCUCUCAGGAUUGUACCUGGAGAGUUUCCAGUCCUCUACCAGUCUCGGCUACAGGAGGGAGAGUCAAGCAGAGGCACACCCAUUCCAUUCCUAGCUUGGGCAGUGGCUAGUGAGUGGAAGGCAAUCUGGUACGAGU